rnacentral:rRNA from 1 species
CUACGGGGUGCUGCAGUGGGGAAUUUUGCGCAAUGGGCGAAAGCCUGACGCAGCAACGCCGCGUGGAGGAUGAAGGCCUUCGGGUCGUAAACUCCUGUCAGGGGGGACGAAAACCGGGCAACCGGCCUGACUGUACCCCUUGAGGAAGCCACGGCCAACUCCGUGCCAGCAGCCGCGGUAAUACGGAGGUGGCAAGCGUUGUUCGGAAUUAUUGGGCGUAAAGGGCGCGUAGGCGGCUUGGCAAGUCAGAUGUGAAAUCCCUGGGCUCAACCUAGGAAUUGCAUCUGAAACUGCUUUGCUUGAGUCCUGGAGGGGGUAGUGGAAUUCCCAGUGUAGCGGUGAAAUGCGUAGAUAUUGGGAGGAACACCGGCGGCGAAGGCGGCUACCUGGACAGUGACUGACGCUGAGGCGCGAAAGCUAGGGGAGCGAACGGGAUUAGAUACCCUCGUAGUC